CUACUGUCCAUCCGUCUAAAAGCUGUAUCAGAUGAACUGUGAUAGUAAAGUAUCCUCUUCUAGGCAGGUCAUUUUACGACGUCACUUACCUAAAUAUCGUUCUUGCAUUCAGCUUUUAAAUUCGAAUACUCUGAUAUUACACACUCAUGUGUUCAUAGUCAUUUUCAUUUUCCACAGAAGUGUAUACUCUGAGUAAUAAUUGCAACAAAGCUGAAUUCGUAAACGCUUCGAGCGUCAUUAAGCCGACAGUUAGCGACUUACCGCGUUACGAUAAUACGCGUUAACAUUUAACUCGGGAACACGAUUCAAAUGUACUUGAAAUAAUUAUGAAAUAUAUUAGGUUUUAGGCGAUGUUCUGCCAACGAGGGUUUGUAUUUACUCCAUUUGACGCAAAAAUGGGAUUUUAGAUGCUGAUUUUCGUAAAACAAAAAAUAUUACUAGCCUUAGUACACGUAUACAUUGUGUGGCUUUUUCAUUUUGGUGUUAGUUUUAUAAGUAUUUCCUUCAUAUCAUUUUACUUUGAUAGCUUUUUGAACUUAUUUCGGAUCCACUUAAGUCACAAAUGGUCAUUUGGCUUGUAAUGUAUUCCUGUACGUAGUUUUGUUAGUAGGUACACUGCGACGUCCACGUUACACUAUUAGAUGUAAUAUUUUUGUGCGCGCGCCUCACAGAUCUCGAUAGCAUGAUUACAAACAUGUUGAAUAGGCUCGUAAAUCACGCCGGUAUCUGUGCGGUACUGGCAGAAACCAUUAGCGCAUCUAAUAUUUAUUGUAACACGCAAAUUUGCUUUUGUUUGCAGUUGUUUUUGAAGAGAAUUUGGUGGGAUUUUAACAUCCUCCUGCUCGAUUUUGUGUUAAGGGUGUGUUGUAGCAAGCAAGUUUAUUCUCUAGAAAUUAUCCAAAUCCAGCUAUCCAGCCGGCCUCAACAUAUUAGUACACAAUAAAAGAAAAAUAAAGUAAACACGUUUAAAAUUAUUUCAGGAAAAAGAAACUGCUUCACGUCUUCAACGCAUUCUUUGACAGCGACAAAAGUGGAACCG